rnacentral:lncRNA from 1 species
AAGAGUGGGGUUUAGGAUUUAGGGUUUAGGGUUUAGAGUUUAGGGUUUACUGUUUAGGGUUUAGAGUUUAGGGUUUAGGGUUUAAGGUUUAGGGUUUAGGGUUUAGGGUUUAGAGUUUAGGGUUUAAAGUUGAGAAAUGAGGUUUUGGGAUAAGAUUUCAAAUUUUGAAAAAUAAAAAAAUUAAAAUUUUUAAAGGAUAAACUUAGAAAGGUGCUAUUUUGGUUAUUUUAGUUUUGGAGUACUAUUUUUGUGAUAUAAACUUAGAAAUGUGCUAUUUUGGAGAUUUGUCUUUUUUUCAUUUUUUCUAUUAAUAUGUUUGAGAGUAUUAUUGUCUUUUAUCCAUUAAUAAAUGUUAUAUUUUUGGUAUUCAGCUUUAGAAGCAAGUUCUGAGAUGAAAUUUUAAAAAUGACUAUCAAAGAGAAUUGUCCAAAAAGAUAUAAAUAAAAUAAUUUAUAUUCGAGAAGGAAUUAAUAUUUGACUUACUUGUAAAAAAGCAACUAAGUUUAUUCAUUAUUUAUAUAUUUUUAAUGUUUAUAAUGAAAAUUUAUCCAAAUAUGGUAAAAUUA